rnacentral:rRNA from 1 species
CCCUGCCUUUUGUACACACCGCCCGUCGCUUCAACCGAUUGGAUGAUCCGGCAAAUUACAUGGACUUACGUAGCUGCUUUGUUUCACAUCGCUCUUCGUGAGGAAAUGUUGUGAGCCUUAUCAUCUAG